rnacentral:rRNA from 1 species
UUUUAGUUCUACCUAAAGCCCCCCCCCCCGUCUAAUAAACUAAUACUAAUGCUUUAGAGUUAUUCAAGUAAGGUACAGCCUAUUUGAACAAGGAAACAACCUGAACUAAUGGGUUAAUUCUGCUACAGUGUACCUAAGUGGGCCUAAAAGCAGCCACCUUUACAAUAGCGUCAAAGCUUUUCUACACACGCACACCAAUUUCUCAACCUAAUCUUAACCCUUUAUUUUCAUCGAGUACUUCUAUAUCCCUAUAGAACAUAAAAUGUUAAAACUAGUAACAAGAAGAAAGCCCUUCUCUUAAAUGUAAGUAUAAGCCAGAAAGGAUAAACCACUGUCAAUUAACACUAAUGAUUUCUAAUUAGCAACACCACAAGAAAACCCUAAUUAAAUAAAUGUUAAACUAACACAAGAACAUUUCAAGAAAGAUUAAAAGAAAAAGAAGGAACUCGGCAAACAUUAACCCCGCCUGUUUACCAAAAACAUCGCCUCUUGACAAACAUAAGAGGUCCAGCCUGCCCAGUGACCUAGUUCAACGGCCGCGGUAUCCUAACCGUGCGAAGGUAGCGUAAUCACUUGUUCUUUAAAUGAGGACUAGUAUGAAUGGCACCACGAGGGUUACACUGUCUCCUUUUUUUAAUCAGUGAAACUGAUCUUCCCGUGAAGAAGCGGGAAUUUUUUUAUAAGACGAGAAGACCCUAUGGAGCUUUAAACAAAUUAACACUUGCUGCCUAAAAUUAAUCUUCCAGAAGCAUAACAUAUAGCAUAGCAUUAUGAUUAAUAGUUUUCGAUUGGGGUGAUCACGGAGUAAAAAACAACCUCCAUGCCGAAAGGGGCCUCCCCUGAGCAAAAAGCCACAACUUUAAGCACUAAAAAAUUAACGUUAAUUGACCCAAUAACUUGAUCAACGAACCAAGUUACCCUAGGGAUAACAGCGCAAUCCACUUCAAGAGCUCCUAUCGACAAGUGGGUUUACGACCUCGAUGUUGGAUCAGGGUAUCCUAGUGGUGCAGCCGCUACUAAUGGUUCGUUUGUUCAACGAUUAAAACCCU